rnacentral:rRNA from 1 species
UAGGGAAUCUUCCGCAAUGGACGCAAGUCUGACGGAGCAACGCCGCGUGAGUGAGGAAGGUUUUCGGAUCGUAAAACUCUGUUGCCAGGGAAGAACGCCAGGGAGAGGAAAUGCUCUUUGGGUGACGGUACCUGAGAAGAAAGCCCCGGCUAACUACGUGCCAGCAGCCGCGGUAAUACGUAGGGGGCAAGCGUUGUCCGGAAUUAUUGGGCGUAAAGCGCGCGCAGGCGGCUAUUUAAGUCUGGUGUUUAAGCCCGGGGCUCAACCCCGGUACGCACUGGAAACUGGGUGGCUGGAGUGCAGGAGAGGGGAGUGGAAUUCCACGUGUAGCGGUGAAAUGCGUAGAGAUGUGGAGGAACACCAGUGGCGAAGGCGACUCUCUGGCCUGUAACUGACGCUGAGGCGCGAAAGCGUGGGGAGCAAACA